rnacentral:rRNA from 1 species
CAGCAGCCACGGUAAGACAGAGGAUGCAAGCGUUAUCCGGAAUGAUUGGGCGUAAAGCGCGCGUAGGUGGUUCGCCAAGUUGGAUGUGAAAUCCCCGGGCUCAACCUGGGAACUGCAUCCAAAACUGGCGAGCUAGAGUAUGGUAGAGGGUGGUGGAAUUUCCUGUGUAGCGGUGAAAUGCGUAGAUAUAGGAAGGAACAUCAGUGGCGAAGGCGACCACCUGGACUGAUACUGACACUGAGGUGCGAAAGCGUGGGGAGCAAACAGGAUUAGAUACCCCCGUAGUCCCUGUCUCUUAUAC